rnacentral:rRNA from 1 species
GACGAACGCUGGCGGCGUGCUUAACACAUGCCAGUCGAACGGAAAGGCCCUGCUUGCAGGGUCCUCGAGUGGCGAACGGGUGAGUAACACGUGGGUGAUCUGCCCUGCACUUCGGGAUAAGCCUGGGAAACUGGGUCUAAUACCGGAUAGGAGCCAUUUUUAGUGUGAUGGUUGGAAAGUUUUUUCGGUGUAGGAUGAGCUCGCGGCCUAUCAGCUUGUUGGUGGGGUAAUGGCCUACCAAGGCGGCGACGGGUAGCCGGCCUGAGAGGGUGGACGGCCACAUUGGGACUGAGAUACGGCCCAGACUCCUACGGGAGGCAGCAGUGGGGAAUAUUGCACAAUGGGCGCAAGCCUGAUGCAGCGACGCCGCGUGGGGGAUGACGGCCUUCGGGUUGUAAACUCCUUUCGCUAGGGACGAAGCUUUUGUGACGGUACCUAGAUAAGAAGCACCGGCUAACUACGUG